GUACCCUUCGACCGACUCAACAACGUCCCUGGACAUCACACCUAGGACACCGCCCUUUCACGGCGGUAACAGGGGUUCGAGUCCCCUAGGGGACGCCA
rnacentral:tRNA from 1 species